AUGUGGGAAUGCCCUGACUUCUACCCCGUGGCGGUGGCCGGAGGCAACCAUCACCACCAGAGUGGUGUGGACACCACGGAGUUGCACGACCGAGUUGUGGCCGAGGAGGUCAAGUACGUGCUCAAGGAUAAUGACUAUGGCCUCCGCUAUGACUAUGGUGACUUCUACGCCUCCAAGUCCUUCGACCCGGCCAAGAACGCCGAGUGCUUUGGGGCUGGGCCAAUGAGUCUGACACCGUUACCGACGACCGCCACAAGAGCUGGGCCGGCAUCCAGGCGAUACCAAGGAAGAUCUUCUUGUCGCGAAGCGGGAGGCAGCUGA
rnacentral:rRNA from 1 species